GAUCCUCCGACCUCCACCACCUCCUAACAAAGCCUCGAUAGGUCACCUACAUGCCUUGACCUGGCGAUAAAGCUCCACGUGUGGUAUGAUCUCUGGUGACUAAAUCGAAUCGCUUGUCACGAACGCCGUCACGCCUCUUGAAUUCUUGCUCCGACGACGCAAAGGUAGUCUUCACUGCUAUGAUUGUCAGAGGCGAGCUCGGGCGAGCAUAAAUGGCUAUAGAUCAGGCGAGCUCGGGGCUCCAAUACCCUGAGUGGUUCUACAUGGCGGCCUCCUAUGCCAGUUUCGACGGAUCUCCUGGCUCCUCCUCUAAAUCCGUUCGCGCCAAGUUCAACUCUGAGUCCGCUCUCAUCCUCUACGCUCUCUAUAAGCAGUGAUAGUGUUUUGGCAACCAUGGUGAAAAGCAAAUUGAUGGAUCCGUUUUACGGCUUGGUAAAUGAAUAUCAAUCAUAGAUAUUGUUGAUUCAGGGAGGCAAUGGUGCACAUUCUGGUACUUUUAAGACCUUUUAGUGUAAGCUGGUACGUGAUACAUAUAAAUGAUAAAAUGCACUUCGAGGUUGUCUUGAAAUUAUUUCUCAGUAGAUUGAAAGAUUACUGUCGAUGUUAAUCUUUAGUUUCCUUGGUAUUGUGGUUAGGAAUAAUAUUGUCUAAACACUUGGCCCUUUUGCAGUCAGGUACUCAGCACCUAGAUUUGAAUUUCCUUAGAAUUAAUUACUAUGUAGAGGUAUAUUUAAAUGGGCACAAAAAGGUCCUUCCAAGAGGGAUGUUUCGAAGGCAUUCUCUAGAUGUCACUGAUAUAGUACAUGACAGUGAAAAUAUGCUUGCUGUUGUUGUUUACCCCAGAUCAUUGUGGUUAUAUUUUAUUUUGUUUAAUGCACU